GCAGUGGUGGUCAGUAGUAGAAUCCUCGCCUUCUGUGUGGGAGACCUGGGUUCCAUUCCCAGCCAAUGCA
rnacentral:tRNA from 1 species